UCUGAAAAUAAUUUUACAUCGGGGAUUACAGGGCGUCAUGUCGGUGGGGUGGAUAAAUAAGACAUGGACCAUCUAUGGCUCCAACAUAGAUUUCAUACGGUCGUAAGAAAAAAAUCACGUUAUCACUUUAUUAUUAUCAACGUUAUCGUCAUAAUCCUAAUCUUUGUUCUUAUCUGGAGUAGCUGUACUAGCUAGCGAGUUAUGUUCCGCACGGAAGAGGCAAGAUCGAACUGUCAAAGCAAAAAGGGAACGAAAGAAGCGGAUGGAAAAAAAGUAAAGAAAAGGAAGAUAGGUAAGAGCGUGAGAAAAAGGGCAGUUCAACAACAUGUUCGUAUGAUCAGAUUUGUGAUUAAAACAAGAUAUCGUAACUCUUUUCCUUCUUUCUUAUAAAUUUUCUAUCAUAUACUUUUCUAAAAUGCUUAAAUUGCGUUCUUUAAGACAGAUAUCGUCUUAUUAACGGAAAGAAAGAAAGAAAGAAAGACGUAAGAAAUAAUGAGAAAAAGCGGGAUACCUCGAAUCGGAAAAGGUUUCGUCUGUUUCGACGUCGGUGGCGUGUAGUGCAUCUCAUUUUUCGGAUCGGUCAUCCUAGAUUUCCAAUGUUUCCUAUGUCACAAAACGUAAAUGCUUUUCGAACAAAGGGACUAUACUACUCUCGGUUCAUCCGUCCGGCUACGCGGUACAGAACGAUGUGGAAUAGAAACAGAAAACACGGGUAGAUAGACAACGAGAAAGAGGCAGAGAGAGAGAGAGAGAGAGAGAGAGAGAGAAAAGAGAGGGAGAGAGAGAAAGAGAGAGGAGGGAAGAGAAAAGAAGUUCAGGGUUGUGUGAAGCUGUCACACCGACUCGCGACUACCGUAUCGUCGGACUGUCAUAUCCGUACUGUUUCCCAUUUCGACGUAACGUCCACUAUCCCGCGUCUUUUCGGAUCAUCGAGGCACCGUUUAGUCACGCGAUCACCUUACUUUUUUAUCAAGCGACUGGCGAACCUAACUGAAAAUUAAAGCUUAACCGUACUCCUUACGGACGACUAAAUGCGAAUCUUCGUCGUGUAUAUAUUUGCAUAAUUUAUCAAAUCGAAUCGAAUGUAGAAUCGAAAAGAAACUCAGUGUGAAGUGUACUCUAUUAGAAACGAAAAAUAAGCUAUGGACUUCGCUCUAUUUACGAAUAUUAUUCGAUUAUGUCGAUUAGCAUAUAUGGUGACUUUGCCGUUGCUUAAAACGAUUGAUGAGCGGUACAUUCAAACGAUGCUUAACCAAUAACAACAGUAUUCUUCCCUUGCAGAAUUAUGUUUUAAAGGUUAAUUAAUUAAUUUUCGUGAUUAUUUCAAUAAGAUCUUUAAAAGGUAUUUUCAUGUAACAAUUUAUUUUGAAACUUAAUAUAUUGUGUUGAAAAAAACUUUUAUUUUCGAUGGUUUAUUAAUUCAUAACCGUUAAUAAAUGAUGUACUUUUA